rnacentral:misc_RNA from 1 species
GAUGAAGAACGUAGCGAAAUGCGAUAAGUAAUGCGAAUUGCAGAAUUCAGUGAAUCAUCGAAUCUUUGAACGCACAUUGCGCCCUUUGGUAUUCCUUAGGGCAUGCCUGUUCGAGCGUCAUUUAAACCUUCAAGCUAAGCUUGGUGUUGGGUGACUGUCCGCUUCACUGCGGACUCGCCUCAAAAUUAUUGGCGGCCGGUACAUUGGCUUCGAGCGCAGCAGAAACGCGAACUCGGGCCCGUCGUAUUGGCUCCCAGAAGCUAUCUUCACAAUUUUGACCUCGGAUCAGGUAGGGAUACCCGCUGAACUUAAGCAUAUCAAUAAGCGGAGGA